rnacentral:rRNA from 1 species
AGUGAACGCUGGCGGUAGGCCUAACACAUGCAAGUCGAACGGCAGCACAGUAGGAGCUUGCUCUUACGGGUGGCGAGUGGCGGACGGGUGAGGAAUACAUCGGAAUCUACUUUUUCGUGGGGGAUAACGUAGGGAAACUUACGCUAAUACCGCAUACGACCUACGGGUGAAAGCAGGGGAUCUUCGGACCUUGCGCGAUUGAAUGAGCCGAUGUCGGAUUAGCUAGUUGGCGGGGUAAAGGCCCACCAAGGCGACGAUCCGUAGCUGGUCUGAGAGGAUGAUCAGCCACACUGGAACUGAGACACGGUCCAGACUCCUACGGGAGGCAGCAGUGGGGAAUAUUGGACAAUGGGCGCAAGCCUGAUCCAGCCACACCGCGUGGGUGAAGAAGGCCUUCGGGUUGUAAAGCCCUUUUGUUGGGAAAGAAAAGCAGCAGGUUAAUACCCCGCUGUUCUGACGGUACCCAAAGAAUAAGCACCGGCUAACUUCGU